rnacentral:tRNA from 1 species
CUCCUGGUUAACUGAGUUGGUAGAGCGCUCCGCUGGAAAUGGAGGGGUCCCUGGUUCGAAUCAGGGCUAGGCGG